rnacentral:rRNA from 1 species
GACGAACGCUGGCGGCGUGCUUAACACAUGCAAGUCGAACGGACAGGCCCUGCUUUUGUGGGGUGCUCGAGUGGCGAACGGGUGAGUAACACGUGAGUAACCUGCCCUUGAAUUUGGGAUAAAUUCAGGAAAAUGGGGCUAAUACCGGAUAGGAGCUCCUGCUGCAUGGUGGGGGUUGGAAAGUUCCGGCGGUUGGGGAUGGAUUCGCGGCUUAUCCGCUUGUUAGGGGGGUAGUGGAUUACCAAGGGUUCGACGGGUAGCCGGCCUGAGAGGGUUACCGGCCACAUGGGGACUAAGGGAGGGCCCAGAAGGGAACGUUAGGCAGCAGGGGAGAGUAUGACGGAGUAAGGGGAAGCGAGAGACAGCAACGCCGGGUGCGGGAAAACGGGUUACGAGGUGUAAACCGAUGUGGAAGGUGAUGAAGAGGGAGUGACGGUAAUGAGUAAAGAAGCAACGGCUAACUACGUG